CAAACGGCUCUUUUCAGAGCCACCCAAAUAUUAACAAAGGAACACU
rfam:Harpegnathos saltator strain R22 G/1 HarSal_1.0_1.contig1357, whole genome shotgun sequence.